GAUGAACGCUAGCGGAGGCUUAACACAUGCAAGUCGAGGGGCAGCAUUGGUACUUGUACCAGAUGGCGACCGGCGCACGGGUGCGUAACGCGUAUGCAACCUACCUUAUACAGGGGGAUAGCCCGGAGAAAUUCGGAUUAAUACCCCAUAAUAUUUUUGUAACACAUGUUAUAAUAAUUAAAGCUUCGGCGGUAUAGGAUGGGCAUGCGUCCCGUUAGUUAGUUGGUGAGGUAACGGCUCACCAAGACUUCGAUUGGGUAGGGGUUCUGAGAGGAUUAUCCCCCACACUGGUACUGAGACACGGACCAG
rnacentral:rRNA from 1 species